AGAGUUUGAUCAUGGCUCAGGGUUAACGCUGGCGGCGUGCCUAACACAUGCAAGUCGAACGGUUCUAAGCGCGAGCUUAGGAUAGUGGCGAACGGGUGAGUAAAAGGUAGGAAUCUACCCCUUGGACGGAGAUAGCUACUGGAAACGGUAGGUAAACUUCGAUAAGCCCGAGAGGGGAAAGUGGUGAGACAGCCGAGGGAUGAGCCUACUCUCCAUCAGGUAGUUGGUGAGAUAAAAGCUUACCAAGCCGAUGACGGAUAACCGGUGUGAGAGCAUGAACGGUCACAAGGGCACUGAGAGACGGGCCCUACUCCUACGGGAGGCAGCAGUGGGGAAUCUUGGACAAUGGGCGAAAGCCUGAUGCAGCGACGCCGCGUGGAGGAUGAAGGCCUUCGGGUCGUAAACUCCUGUCUGGGGGGAUGAACACUGACAGUACCCCCGGAGGAAGCCCCGGCUAACUACGUGCCAGCAGCCGCGGUAAU
rnacentral:rRNA from 1 species